rnacentral:tRNA from 1 species
GCCUUCGUGGUGUAACGGUAGCACACUCAGCUCAUAUUCGAGAGGUCCACGUUCGAGUACCGGCGAGGGCA